CCCCCUCCGCAGGCUGCCGGCCCCGGGCUGGGCUGGGCGAGCAUCUCUCGGAAAGGCUCACCCUCCAGCACGACCAGGAGC
rnacentral:pre_miRNA from 1 species